rnacentral:sRNA from 1 species
UCUUAAGACAGGCGAGAAAAACGAAGAGUUUUGUAGCAAUACGGGACUCUUAGUGUUUACUGGGUGCGUAACACAUAAGUGACCUACCCUGAAGUGGGUGAAUAACAGUUCGAAAGGACUGCUAAUACCGCAUGUGGUCCUGGAGGUUAGAGGCUCCAGGUCUAAAGCUGCUCGCAAGAGCGGCGCUUCAGGAGGGGCCUGCGGAUCAUCAGCUCGUUGGUAGGGUAAUGGCCUACCAAGGCUACGACGAUUAGGGGACCUGAGAGGGUGACCCCCCACACUGGCACUGACACACGGGCCAGACUCCUACGGGAGGCAGCAGUGGG